AAGAUGGCGACCGGCGCACGGGUGCGUAACGCGUAUGCAACCUACCUUUAACAGGGGCAUAACACUGAGAAAUUGGUACUAAUUCCCCAUAACAUUCGAGAAGGCAUCUUCUUGGGUUAAAAACUCCGGUGGUUAAAGAUGGGCAUGCGUUGUAUUAGCUAGUUGGUGAGGUAACGGCUCACCAAGGCAACGAUACAUAGGGGGACUGAGAGGUUAACCCCCCACAUUGGUACUGAGACACGGACCAA
rnacentral:rRNA from 1 species